GAGAACGCCCUUGACCCCCUUCUGGGACAAGGAGCUGGUAUCAGGCACAAUAAUUAGCCCAAGACACCUAGCCUUGCCACACCCCCACGGGAACUCAGCAGUAAUUAAUAUUAAACAUAAGCGAUAGCUUGAUUUAGUUAAGGUAAAAAGAGCCGGCAAAUCUGGUGCCAGCCGCCGCGGCUACACCAUGUGGCUCAAGUUGAACUCUUUCGGCGUAAAGCGUGAUUAAAGUAAAUAUCAAACUAGAGUUAAACUAGAACUAAGUUGUAAUAAGCUUGUUAAUAAGAAACCCACAAACGAAAGUUACUCUAAGACCCCCAACUUGAACUCACGACCGCUAGGACACAAACUGGGAUUAGAUACCCCACUAUGCCUUGCCGUAAACUUUUAGCUACUAAUUAAUCGCCAGGGAACUACGAGCUAAGCUUAAAACCCAAAGGACUUGACGGUACCCCACAUCCCCCUAGAGGAGCCUGUCCUACAAUCGAUAAACCACGUUUAACCUCACCACUUCUAGCCUAUCAGCCUGUAUACCUCCGUCGUCAGUUUACCACGUGAGCGCCUCAAGUAAACUUAAUGAUCAUACCAUCAAUACGUCAGGUCAAGGUGCAGCACAUGAAGUGGAAAGAGAUGGGCUACACUUUCUAGCUUAGAAAACACGAAAGACUUUAUGAAAUCUAGUCAGAAGGCGGAUUUAGAAGUAAAAGUACAUCAGAAUGCU
rnacentral:rRNA from 1 species